rnacentral:lncRNA from 12 species
GGUUGGUGUGACAGCACUUGUUCAGCUAAACCUUUACUCACAGCAAGUCCUAUAAGAAACAUUGGUUUCUUUUUUUCGCAGUCCCUGCAUCUGAAAACAGCAUCAACAGUGGCAAAGUGAGAAGUUUGCUUAACACGAGA